GACGAACGCUGGCGGCGUGCUUAACACAUGCAAGUCGAGCGGAAAGGCCCUUUCGGGGUACUCGAGCGGCGAACGGGUGAGUAACACGUGAGUAAUCCGCCCCUGGCUUUGGGAUAGCCACCGGAAACGGUGAUUAAUACCGGAUACGACCACUUCUCGCAUGGGAUGGUGGUGGAAAGUUUUUCGGCCAGGGAUGUGCUCGCGGCCUAUCAGCUUGAUGGUGAGGUGAUGGCUCACCAUGGCUUCGACGGGUAGCCGGCCUGAGAGGGUGACCGGUGACAGUGGGACUGAGACACGGCCCAAACUCCUACGGGAGGCAGCAGUGGGGAAUAUUGGACAAUGGGCGGAAGCCUGAUCCAGCAACGCCGCGUGAGGGAUGACGGCCUUCGGGUUGUAAACCUCUUUCAGCAGGGACGAAGCGCAAGUGACGGUACCUGCAGAAGAAGCACCGGCCAACUACGUGCCAGCCGCCGCCGUAA
rnacentral:rRNA from 1 species